CCUUUGUUUUCCCUGUCAAAAUUCUGCUGUUGCUGGAAAGAAUGCUGAUGAGUGGUGGUCCAGGGAAUAGUAAUUUAACAGAGGGCAAGCUCAUGUGGGUACAUGGUGAUGCUGGGUCUGCCACAGGAGCUGUAAAGACAGUUCUACACUGCUGCCAUCGAAUCAGUUCUGUACACAUCCAUCACAGUCUGGUUUGGAGCAGCCACAAUACAACACAGGAACAGACUGCAGCGACUGGUAAAGACAGCUGAGAAAAUCAUUGGUGCUCCUGCGCCCUCCCUCCUGGACUUGUAUUCUUCAAGAACCGGGCAGAGAAACGGGCAGAGAAAAUUACUACUGACUCUUCACACCCUGGCCAUAACUUCAUUCAACCCCUCCCCUCCGGCAGGCGCUAUAGGUCCAUCCAGACUAAAACCUCCAGAUUCAAGAGCAGUUGCUUCCCAAAGGCCAUCUCCCUCCUAAAUAAAUAAAUGACUGACAAUA